UGCCAAUACAAUCUUUGGUUGCGAGAACAUUCUAUAGACUAAGCGCAUACUUCAACAAAAGGCGUGGUGAUGGCAUAGACUGGACAACACGUUACACACCAAAAAAUGAGUCCAUUUUGCAUAGAAGAAUUGAGGCAGCAAGAUCAUGUCAAAUUACCAUAUUCAACGACAACGAAUGGCAGGUACAGGAUUGUGACGGUAUCUACACCGUUAAACUAUUUGAUGUUGAUUGCACUUGCACAUGUAACAUACCACAACUCCAAAAAAUACCCUGUGCACAUGUGCUUGCGGCUUCUUCUAAUCAGCCGGGAGGUGCUAGAAUUCCCAGAAAUCGGUAUUGCUCGCCUUGGUAUUCAACAGCUCACUAUCAAAAGACAUAUAGUGAGAGUUUUCAUCCACCUGAUGAUAGUCGGUAUUGGCCUGAAUAUAAUGGACCACAUAUAGUUCCACCUCAGUACCGGAGACAAGCAGGUCGACCACGAUCUGUGCGAAUUAGGGGAACCAUGGAUCAAGGGCGAGAAGGAGUGGUCAAGCACAAAAGAUGUAGUCUUUGCAAACAACCGGGACAUACUCGACCUCGUUGUCCAUCUAGACACAAUAGAUAGCAACUAAUUGGUAAUUUAUAUCAUUUUUUUAUUUUUAUAUACUUUAAUAAAGAAACUGAAUUACUAUAUGAUUGAUUAUUGACAUGUGUAUAAUUGUAUGUGCAGGUUUGUACACCAUGGAUCCUGGGCCGGUUAGUGAUGAGGUCUUAUAUGACCAGGCUCAGCAUCGUUCACAUAUUAUAUCCUGUACAGAGAGAGGUCCGAGUAUCGUUAUGGUUGAUCAUAGCCUCAGCCAUAGCCGUUGGCGGUUAGAGGAUGAGCGUAUCAUAGCAGCUGUGGGACGGGCCGGCUUCUUGACUUGUUCAAAGCUUCGUUGGAUAAAGCUCGAUUGGCC